AGGAAUAUUGGUCAAUGGGCGAGAGCCUGAACCAGCCAAGUAGCGUGAAGGAUGACUGCCCUAUGGGUUGUAAACUUCUUUUAUAAAGGAAUAAAGUCGGGUAUGGAUACCCGUUUGCAUGUACUUUAUGAAUAAGGAUCGGCUAACUCCGUGCCAGCAGCCGCGGUAAUACGGAGGAUCCGAGCGUUAUCCGGAUUUAUUGGGUUUAAAGGGAGCGUAGAUGGAUGUUUAAGUCAGUUGUGAAAGUUUGCGGCUCAACCGUAAAAUUGCAGUUGAUACUGGAUAUCUUGAGUGCAGUUGAGGCAGGCGGAAUUCGUGGUGUAGCGGUGAAAUGCUUAGAUAUCACGAAGAACUCCGAUUGCGAAGGCAGCCUGCUAAGCUGCAACUGACAUUGAGGCUCGAAAGUGUGGGUAUCAAACAGGAUUAGAUACCCUGGUAGUCCACACGGUAAACGAUGAAUACUCGCUGUUUGCGAUAUACUGCAAGCGGCCAAGCGAAAGCGUUAAGUAUUCCACCUGGGGAGUACGCCGGCAACGGUGAAACUCAAAGGAAUUGACGGGGGCCCGCACAAGCGGAGGAACAUGUGGUUUAAUUCGAUGAUACGCGAGGAACCUUACCCGGGCUUAAAUUGCAGAUGAAUUACGGUGAAAGCCGUAAGCCGCAAGGCAUCUGUGAAGGUGCUGCAUGGUUGUCGUCAGCUCGUGCCGUGAGGUGUCGGCUUAAGUGCCAUAACGAGCGCAACCCUUGUUGUCAGUUACUAACAGGUUCCGCUGAGGACUCUGACAAGACUGCCAUCGUAAGAUGUGAGGAAGGUGGGGAUGACGUCAAAUCAGCACGGCCCUUACGUCCGGGGCUACACACGUGUUACAAUGGGGGGUACAGAGGGCCGCUACCACGCGAGUGGAUGCCAAUCCCCAAAACCUCUCUCAGUUCGGACUGGAGUCUGCAACCCGACUCCACGAAGCUGGAUUCGCUAGUAAUCGCGCAUCAGCCACGGCGCGGUGAAUACGUUCCCG
rnacentral:rRNA from 1 species